UCCUGGCUCAGGAUGAACGCUAGCUACAGGCUUAACACAUGCAAGUCGAGGGGAAACGAUAUUGGAAGCUUGCUUCCGAUAGGCGUCGACCGGCGCACGGGUGAGUAACGCGUAUCCAACCUGCCCAUCACUUGGGAAUAACCUUGCGAAAGUAAGACUAAUGCCCAAUGACAUUUAUAGAAGGCAUCUGAAAUGAAUUAAAGAUUUAUCGGUGAUGGAUGGGGAUGCGUCUGAUUAGCUUGUUGGCGGGGUAACGGCCCACCAAGGCAACGAUCAGUAGGGGUUCUGAGAGGAAGGUCCCCCACAUUGGAACUGAGACACGGUCCAAACUCCUACGGGAGGCAGCAGUGAGGAAUAUUGGUCAAUGGGCGAGAGCCUGAACCAGCCAAGUAGCGUGCAGGAUGACGGCCCUAUGGGUUGUAAACUGCUUUUAUAAGGGAAUAAAGUGGGUCACGUGUGACUUUUUGCAUGUACCUUAUGAAUAAGGACCGGCUAAUUCCGUG
rnacentral:rRNA from 1 species